rnacentral:rRNA from 1 species
CUUUCCUGGCUCAGGAUGAACGCUAGCUACAGGCUUAACACAUGCAAGUCGAGGGGCAGCGGGAUUGAAGCUUGCUUCAAUUGCCGGCGACCGGCGCACGGGUGAGUAACGCGUAUCCAACCUUCCGUACACUCAGGGAUAGGCCUUUCGAAAGAAAGAUUAAUACCUGAUGGUAUCUUAAGCACACAUGUAAUUAAGAUUAAAGAUUUAUCGGUGUACGAUGGGGAUGCGUUCCAUUAGGUAGUAGGCGGGGG